GACGAACGCUGGCGGCGUGCUUAACACAUGCAAGUCGAACGAAGAGCGAUGGAAGCUUUCUUCUAUCACUCUUAGUGGCGAACGGGUGAGUAACGCGUAAUCAACCUGCCCUUCAGAGGGGGACAACAGUUGGAAACGACUGCUAAUACCGCAUACGAUCUAAUCUCGGCAUCGAGGAUAGAUGAAAGGUUGCCUCUACAUGUAAGCUAUCACUGAAGGAGGGGAUUGCGUCUGAUUAGCUAGUUGGAGGGGUAACGGCCCACCAAGGCGAUGAUCAGUAGCCGGUCUGAGAGGAUGGACGGCCAAAUUGGGACUGAGACACGGCCCAGACUCCUACGGGAGGCAGCAGGGGGGAAUCUUCCGCAAUGGACGACAGUCUGACGGAGCCACGCCGCGUGAGGGAUGACGGCCUUCGGGUUGUAAAGCUCUGUUAAUCGGGACGAAAGGGCUUCUUGCGAAUAGUGAGAAGGAUUGACGGUACCGGAAUAGAAAGCAACGGCUAACUACGUG
rnacentral:rRNA from 1 species